AGAAAUUUUGCCAACCAGUUAGAAGCGGCUACCUUGGAACAAAUAGUUCUAAUUCCGUAUAAUACUGGUUUUCAUUGGAUGUUGCAUGUCAUCGAUCUUCGAGAGAACUGUGUUUAUGUUUUGGACUCUCUUCAAAGUAAAGUUAACGAAGACAUCCAUGGAGUCA